rnacentral:rRNA from 1 species
GUAGGUGGCAAGCGUUGUCCGGGAAUUAUUGGGGCGUAAAGCGCGCGCAGGCGGUCCUUUAAGGUCUGAUGUGAAAGCCCACGGGCUCAGCCGUGGAGGGUCAUUGGAAACUGGGGGACUUGAGUACAGAAGAGGAAAGCGGAAUUCCAAGUGUAGCGGUGAAAUGCGUAGAGAUUUGGAGGAACACCAGUGGCGAAGGCGGCUUUCUGGUCUGUAACUGACGCUGAGGCGCGAAAGCGUGGGGAGCAAACAGGAUUAGAUACCCUGGUAGUCCACGCCGUAAACGAUGAGUGCUAAGUGUUAGGGGGUUUCCGCCCCUUAGUGCUGCAGCUAACGCAUUAAGCACUCCGCCUGGGGAGUACGGCCGCAAAGGCUGA